rnacentral:rRNA from 1 species
CCUACGGGGGACAGCAGUGAGGAAUAUUGGUCAAUGGUCGGGAGACUGAACCAGCCACGCCGCGUGAGGGAUGAAGGUCCAGAGUAUCGUAAACCUCUUUUGUCAGGGAACAAAGGCGGGGACGUGUCCCCGGAUGAGUGUACCUGAAGAAAAAGCAUCGCCUAACUCCGUGCCAGGAGCCGCGGUAAUACGGAGGAUGCGCGCGUUAUCCGGAUUUAUUGGGUUUAAAGGGUGGGCAGGCGGUCUGUUCAGUCAGCGGGAAAAGCCCGGGGCUCAACCCCGGCCCGCCGUUGAAACUGGCAGUCUUGAGUUGGAGAGAAGUAGGCGGAAUGCGCGGUGUAGCGGUGAAAUGCGUAGAUAUCGCGCAGAACUCCGAUUGCGAAGGCAGCAUGCCGGCUCCACACUGACGCUGAGGCACGAAAGCGUGGGUAUCGAACAGGAUUAGAUACCCUAGUAGUC